CACACCCAUACCAGGACUGACAGCGGGAUUAUCGCUCUCGGAGGCGGCGCACAUCCUCACAGCACACGGUAGGCGGCGUCAGUCCGGAGAGCUACGUCCCUCUGAGCUCACUUCCGCCGGCUUGAGUCGGAUCGCUAUUCUUUUUACCGUGUCUCACCGCUUUUGUUCUCCCAUUUCCAUCCAGCCAGCGCUGCUGAGAAGAGGGAGCCCGGCAACAUCGGGAAAACCACAAACGACACAAAGUAGCGGACCAGUCAGUCGCAGAAACGCCACAUGCAAAGCGCAGUCUGCACAGAGGAUACGCGGCACUCCGUAGUUACAUAACUGGACUACUUUUUUUUUUUUGUAUUAUUGUUGGGGUUUUUUUUUCCACGCUUUUCUUUUUUUGUGUGUGUGUGCGUGUUGUUGUUGUUGUACCGAAACUGACUCCAUCUCUGUCUAAACUCAAAAUGGAGAACGACGACAAAUACCUCCCCGAGCUGCUGGCGGAGAAGGACAGCCUGGACUCGUCGUUCACGCACGCCAUGAAACUUUUAAACGCGGAAAUUGAUAGACUCCAGAAAGGCGAUACUAAAAAGGAGGCAGAAACAUACCUGGACCUUUUCACAACAAAGAACAUCAAACUUAAGGAACGAGUGCUCAUACCCGUCAAACAGUACCCGAAGUUCAAUUUCGUGGGGAAGAUUCUGGGACCUCAGGGCAACACAAUCAAACGUCUGCAGGAAGAGACUGGAGCCAAGAUCUCUGUGCUGGGCAAAGGAUCCAUGAGAGACAAAUCCAAGGAGGAGGGGCUGAGGAAAGGCGGCGAGCCCAAGUACGCCCACUUGUCUAUGGAGCUGCACGUAUUCAUCGAGGUGUUUGCCCCCGUGCCAGAGGCUUACCUGCGCAUGGCACACGCCAUGGAGGAGGUCAAGAAGUUCCUGUUCCCCGACAUGAUGGAUGAUAUCUGCCAAGAGCAGUUCAUGGAGAUGAGCUACCUGAACGGAGGCCAGGAGCACGGCGCCCGAGGCCGAGGGGGCAUGCCGGUCAGGGGCCGUGGAGUCCCCCCUGCCGGAGCACACAGGGGUAGGGGAAUGCCUCCUCGCGGUGCUGGCGCCAGAGGAGGUGUGAGUCGAGGCGGCCCAGCCAGAGGCGGCGCGGUGAGGGGCGCCCCAACAGGCCGAGGAGGACCACCUGCAGCACCCUCCAGGGGAGCAGUGGCACCCCGUGCCAGGCCCCCGGCCGGCGGACCCCCUCAGAGGAUGGCGCCGCCACCUCCCCACCAACACACUCCCGCCGCGGCUUCUGAGAGCUAUGAGGAAUAUGGCUACGAUGAGAGCUACACAGACACGGCCUACGAGUCAUACGACAGCUAUUACAGUCAGCCGCAGGCAGAGCCAGAAUACUACGACUACGGACACGGAGAGACCACAGAGUCCUACGAAUCCUAUGGCCAGGAUGACUGGAACGGGACCCAGCGAACAGUUCCAGGGAAGGCGCCUCCCCCCUCCAGAGGUGCCAAGACGCCUUACCGGGAUCACCCAUACCGACAGUACUGAAGUGGACUCCCUACCCUUAACGUGUCGCCCUGACUACCGCCUGUCUACCACGGCAGCUCUCGCUUUAAGCAGCCCGACAAAAGACCCAGAGGUAAGACCUCUAAAAUAACCUGGAUAGCUUCCUAAUGUGUAUAGAGUUCUAAAGCAUUGAAUGCCUGGGUAUGUAUAAGACUUUUUCAAUCCUCUUACCUGUGGUCGUAAUCGUUAAUGAGAAUUGCUUUUAUAGCAUCUGAAAAUUAACUGAAUUCAAACCACCAUUCAGGUCUAGGCUUCAUUGUCAUGAAUGACGCUGGCGCGAUGGCUACUUUUAGUACAGAGUAAUGGCAGUGCAAUGGAGAGGAUGGUUAUAACCUAGAGAACUCCACUGUAAAGGCACAGCUAUCGGUCACUGAGUGCCCCGGAGACUGACAGUCUGCUGAAGUGAGACCAAACAAAACCACAGUGAAGCCGUGCACAGGAGCAGCUCAGCACGAGUGAGGUGGUCAGAAGAAGUUCUCGGAGGGCAUCCUUUUUUAAAAUAAAUAAAUAAAUAAGAAGGUGGCCCGAGGUCCAGUUCUGUUCCCGGCAGGGAGAAGGCAAGUGGAAAGGGGGUUUGCGGUGGCUGGCUGCCAAGUGACCCACAGGAGCCAGCUGAUAUAACGCGUGGGGAGCGGAGCUGGCUCAGACUCUCACUCGGGAAACGGGACUUAAAACUGCAGCUGGUCAGCGAAGACGUUCAGCUCGCUGGGAAUCCAGAAUAAGCAGACUUUUUUUUUUUUUUUUUUUUUUGUGGACUACUUUCUCAGAUUUCUACAUUUUAAUUUUUAAUUACUCUCUGUUAUCCUCAUGUAAUUAUUUGCUAACAUUUGAAUACACCCACUUGAAGCUUUCGCUGAUUGCACGCUGCUGUACACAGCUUCUGCGGACCACCCCCUCGUCCAACAAAUGUAAUUGUUACAGCCUAAUCUACCAUAAAAUGAGCACUCCUGUUAUAGUAGGCUGUGAAAUUGUUUUAAAAUUUUUCUAUUAACCCUUGAAUUAGACAAGAAAAGAGCUCUUUCUGCAAGACGAGCAGUAUUCUCCCAUUCACGGGAGAAUUGUGCGACAUGUGCGUUUCAAGUGAUUUUCUUUUCACAUUCUGGCCGCGUGUUGCUUAGUAUCCGUGCCUUAUUGCCGCCUGAAAUUAGACUCUGUGCUCAGGAGUUAAAGAUGCCCGGAGAGCAUGGAUCACUUUCGCGCUGUGGCCGAGUCCGACGCGAGCUCGCACACUCACGCUGCCGCAUCUUGGCACCGCACGGCCCUGUGUAGCCCCAAGGAUAUCAAAUUCUAAUGUAGCAGCCUAUUUGCAUGUACUCUCAUGUAUCCUCCCUGCAAAUGUGCAACACUUUCAUAACCAAAGCUGGCCCGUUCACAGCAGUUCAGCAUCCAAGUAUGAUAAUUGGGUGAGAUGGACCCAGGAGGAGAAGCUGCAUGUGAGAAAGGGACAGAGGGUGAAGACAGACAUUACUAACGUGCCUCCAUCUAUCCAUCAUGCCUGUGUUGAUUUGAUUCCCCCUCCAUGCCAUUUUCUGCUAUUAUCACUGAUGAUAUUACGGAUGCCUGUGGUGCCGAGCUGCAUUUAGAGGUCAGAACUGUACUUUCCUGUAUUAAAAACGCGUUUCUCUGUCCCGAUUCACUGGUCAGAGGCAGCAUUAGCCAAGUUAGAGGCUCCAUUUAGUUUAUUGAAAAAGCUAGCAGCUUAGAGGAUAGAACAUUAGAUAUUAGGAUAGAAACCAUCAUUUGAGAUGAAAUGUCAACGGGCCUUAUCCAAAACAGAUCAUUUUUCAGUCUUUAUGUGCUAUUAUGUCUAAAAUAAUGAUUUCUAUGUCUCCUAUAAUCUAAUGAAAGAUAAGUGAUGAUGUGGAAGCCAUCUCCUUUGUUUGAAUCGAUGAACUGUCAAGAGCGUGAGGGUGGAAAAGAAAGUAAAUUGUUACUGUGCAUUGAUCAAUAAAAGCAGACUUGAAUAUGA